rnacentral:rRNA from 1 species
AUACGAACUUCGCAAACGUUAUUCGGAAUCACUGGGCUUAAAGGGUCCGUAGGCGGCCAGACAAGUAAGGUGUGAAAGCUCUCGGCUCAACCGAGGAAUUGCGCUUGAAACUGUUUGGCUUGAGUACGAUAGGGGUGUGCGGAACUUCUGGUGGAGCGGUGAAAUGUGUUGAGAUCAGAAGGAACGCCGGUGGCGAAAGCGGCACACUGGGUCGUAACUGACGCUGAGGGACGAAAGCUAGGGUAGCGAACGGGAUUAGAAACCCCAGUAGUCC